UACGUAGGGCGCAAGCGUUGUCCGGAAUUAUUGGGCGUAAAGAGCUCGUAGGCGGUUUGUCGCGUCUGCUGUGAAAACCUAAGGCUCAACCUUGGGCUUGCAGUGGGUACGGGCAGACUAGAGUGCGGUAGGGGUGACUGGAAUUCCUGGUGUAGCGGUGGAAUGCGCAGAUAUCAGGAGGAACACCGAUGGCGAAGGCAGGUCACUGGGCCGCAAAUGACGCUGAGGAGCGAAAGCAUGGGGAGCGAACAGG
rnacentral:rRNA from 1 species